rnacentral:rRNA from 1 species
GGAAAACUUACCAGGUCCAGACAUAGCGAGGAUUGACAGAUUGAGAGCUCUUUCUUGAUUCUAUGGGAGGUGGUGCAUGGCCGUUCUUAGUUGGUGGAGUGAUUUGUCUGGUUAAUUCCGUUAACGAACGAGACCCCCGCCUGCUAAAUAGGUCCGUGAAUGAAUUUCAUUGACGAGAUCUUCUUAGAGGGACUUUUGGUGACUAACCAAAGGAAGUUGGGGGCAAUAA